AGGCAGCAGUGGGGAAUUUUGGACAAUGGGGGCAACCCUGAUCCAGCCAUUCCGCGUGAGUGAAGAAGGCCUUCGGGUUGUAAAGCUCUUUCAGCUGGAAAGAAACGGUGAGCUCUAACAUAGCUUGCUAAUGACGGUACCAGCAGAAGAAGCACCGGCUAACUACGUGCCAGCAGCCGCGGUAAUACGUAGGGUGCGAGCGUUAAUCGGAAUUACUGGGCGUAAAGCGUGCGCAGGCGGAUUGUUAAGCAAGAUGUGAAAUCCCCGGGCUUAACCUGGGAACUGCAUUUGUGACUGCAAGGCUAGAGUGUGGCAGAGGGGGGUAGAAUUCCACGUGUAGCAGUGAAAUGCGUAGAGAUGUGGAGGAAUACCGAUGGCGAAGGCAGCCCCCUGGGUCAACACUGACGCUCAUGUACGAAAGCGUGGGUAGCAAACAGGAUUAGAUACCCCUGUAGUC
rnacentral:rRNA from 1 species